GCGCCAAUAGCUCAGCUGGAUAGAGCGUCCCCCUCCUAAGGGGAAGGCCGGGGGUUCGAAUCCCUUUUGGCGCG
rfam:Lachnospiraceae bacterium 3_1_57FAA_CT1 genomic scaffold acsNT-supercont1.1, whole genome shotgun sequence.